GCACAUUCCAGCCAAUCAGCAGAAGACCCUCCCUCCCAGACCCUCCCACCUCCUGGACAGCAUUCAUUUUACAUUCAUUGUGAAGCUGCAUUCUUAGUGAGCUGUCCAGGAGGUGGGAGGGUCUGGGAGGGAGGGUCUGCUGCUGAUUGGCUGGAAUGUGUCU